rnacentral:misc_RNA from 1 species
GUUUUUUAUUUGUAUUUGUUCAUGAUCAAGUAUUAAAACAUAACAUUGGUGUUUUUUUUGGAACAAAGGCUGACGGCCCAAAAGACCUCUGGGGGUACCAACGGAAAGCCAGAAAACACUGUAAAACACUGGUUCAUGCUCUCUCCAUAACCCCACCAAAAAGUCCCAUCCAUUGUUUUGGACUCUUGGAGGGCCGCCAAAAUACGGUAAACAGUUCACAAGGGUGUGGAAAGAUAGCUGGGGCCAAGAAGCGCGGUUUGAAGUCGACACCCUCUUGGCCUUGGCAGCCACUUUUGGGUAUUCAGUAAUGAUCCAACCGCAGGUUCACCUACGGUUA